rnacentral:misc_RNA from 1 species
UCAUACUGAAAAUGUUGUGCAUGUCAUGAAUGGGAAUGUUGUCGAAGCCAUAGAUGAUCAACGUCGAAUGAUCCUUCUGUCUGAAGUUGAAGAGAAGCAUGAUUAUUAUAGUAUGAUGCAACAUAGCAGUGAUAUAGUUCGCACCUUUAUUUCAAUGCAAGUAGAUUUUCCAACACAGAUUGUUUCACAGUUCAAGUUGCUUAAGGUAUUGGAUGUAUUAUCAAUUGAUUACGACUUCUCUAGUGUAAUAUCUGAGCUUGUACAAUUGAGAUAUGUUGCUGCAAGAAUUAGGGAAGCUGUUUCAGUAGCCAAAUUGAGAAAUCUACAAACCAUAAUUCUUCAAAGUCUUGAAAG